AACAGGCUAAUUUGCGCAAGAGUGUACAAAAUGAGUGCGCGGUUUGGCACCUCGAUGUCGGCUUAACUUAUCCUCAUGGAUGCAGGAACUAUGUAGGGUGCGACUGUUCGUCGAUUAAAAAGUUACAUGAGCUGGGUUAAAUACGUCGUGAGACAGUAU
rnacentral:rRNA from 1 species